rnacentral:rRNA from 1 species
CGCCCUUCAGGCCUAACACAUGCAAGUCGAGCGCCUCGCAAGAGGAGCGGCAGACGGGUGAGUAACACGUGGGAAUCUACCCAUCCCUACGGAACAACUCCGGGAAACUGGAGCUAAUACCGUAUACGCCCUUCGGGGGAAAGAUUUAUCGGGGAUGGAUGAGCCCGCGUUGGAUUAGCUAGUUGGUGGGGUAAAGGCCUACCAAGGCGACGAUCCAUAGCUGGUCUGAGAGGAUGAUCAGCCACAUUGGGACUGAGACACGGCCCAAACUCCUACGGGAGGCAGCAGUGGGGAAUAUUGGACAAUGGGCGCAAGCCUGAUCCAGCCAUGCCGCGUGAGUGAUGAAGGCCUUAGGGCUGUAAAGCUCUUUCACCGAUGAAGAUAAUGACGGUAGUCGGAGAAGAAGCCCCGGCUAACUUCGUGCCAGCAGCCGCGGUAAUACGAAGGGGGCUAGCGUUGUUCGGAAUUACUGGGCGUAAAGCGCACGUAGGCGGAUAUUUAAGUCAGGGGUGAAAUCCCGCAGCUCAACUGCGGAACUGCCUUUGAUACUGGGUAUCUUGAGUAUGGAAGAGGUUAGUGGAAUUGCGAGUGUAGAGGUGAAAUUCGUAGAUAUUCGCAGGAACACCAGUGGCGAAGGCGGCUAACUGGUCCAUAACUGACGCUGAGGUGCGAAAGCGUG